AGAGUUUGAUACUGGCUCAGAAUCAACGCUGGCGGCGUGCCUCAGACAUGCAAGUCGAACGAUUAAAGCUCUCUUCGGAGAGUGUAUAGAGUGGCGCACGGGUGAGUAACACGUAAGUAAUCUACCUUCGAGUGGGGAAUAACCCGGGGAAACCCGAGCUAAUACCGCAUAAUGCAGCGGCACCUAAUGGUGACAGUUGUUAAAGAUUUAUCGCUUGAAGAGGAGCUUGCGGCAUAUUAGCUAGUUGGUAAGGUAAUGGCUUACCAAGGCUACGAUCUGUAACCGGUCUAAGAGGACGGUCGGUCACACUGACACUGAAUAACGGGUCAGACUCCUACGGGAGGCAGCAGUCGGGAAUUUUGGGCAAUGGGCGAAAGCCUGACCCAGCAACGCCGCGUGAAGGAUGAAGUAUUUCGGUAUGUAAACUUCGAAAGAAUGGGAAGAAUAAAUGACGGUACCAUUUACAAGGUCCGGCUAACUACGUGCCAGCAGCCGCGGUAAUACGUAGGGACCAAGCGUCGUCCGGAUUUACUGGGCGUAAAGGGCGCGUAGGCGGCCCCACAAGUCACUUGUGAAAUCUCCGGGCUUAACUCGGAACGGCCAAGUGAAACUGUGGAGCUAGAGUGUGGAAGGGCAAUCGGAAUUCUUGGGGUACCGGUGAAAUGCGUAAAUAUCAAGAGGAACCCUGAGGUGAAACGGGUGCUGGGCCACCCUGACCCUUAGC
rnacentral:rRNA from 1 species